rnacentral:lncRNA from 1 species
UCCUCCUUUACUUGGCACUCUUAGUGGUCCACAAAGAUCCAUACAGAGGAGAUCAAGUGGCCUUGAGGUUCUUACUUCCUUUUUGGGUUUAAAGAGGACCUGAUCUGCAUUCUUUUUACGCAUGCAUCACACGCCUUGUGAUCUUUGAAGCUUGACUUAGGCACUCCACGAACCAAGUCCUUCUUGGCCAAUUUGUUCAGCAAUAUAAAACUUGCAUGGCCCAACCUUCUGUGCCACAAUUCAGCAUCAUUAUCGACAACACUCAGACAUGUGAUAUGCCCAUUUUAUAGGGACUCAAAAUCAGUGACAUAGAUGUUUUUGUAUAUUUUUGCCAUCAGGAUCGCUUCACCAGUCACGAGGUUUGUGACUGUUUAGAUUUUUGACAAAAAUUACACCUUGUUUCCUUUGUCGCUGA